ACACAUUCUUGACACACAGUAUCAAGAGCUUCUUAAAUAGUGCAAUGUACUACGACUGAUGAAAACUGGCCACUAGCAGUUGAAAAUCUUGCAUUUUAUCAUUUGUCCCUUCACCAUAGUCUGUAUUUGAGGAGGAAAAUAGAGACUUUGACAUAAGCAAAAGUGAAGAGGUCUCAGCUGCCAGAUUAUUGCCAUCUUUCCAUAAGCCACACCGUUAAAUUCAGCUGUUAAGCAUAUGUGUUUCCAAGGUGAAGCAUCUAGGAAAAACAGGAGAUGGGACAUAGACAUGGAAAAGUUUAUUAAAAUAUAUGUUGAGCUGGUAUUUCAAUUCCUCUUCAUGGAAAGCUGCUCUUUGCCUUGUGGCCUCCUAAGCACUCUUUGUCAAAUUGUCACUUUUGACUGCAAUCACAAGCAAUCCUCAAAUCAUCCACAGAGCUGGGGUGCAGCUCAGUGGUGGAGCACUUGCCUAGCAUGCACCAGGCCCUGGGUUCCAUCCCCACCACUGUGGGGGAGAAAAAGAAACACAUUGACAAUCCACCCAUCAUUUCUGCCCCCAGACUCUUUAUCUCAUUAUGAAUCUUAAAAAUUAGAUGACUCUAAAAUAUAUCCUGUCAAAAACUUAUUGCACUUGGAACUCAAUCUAAUGAUUAGAUACACAUUUACUCUUAAAAACUUAGAAGAGGGCUGAGGUUGUGGCUCAGUGGUAGAGCGCUUGCCUAGCACGUGUGAGGCAUUGGGUUCCAUCCCCAGCACCACAUAAAAAUAAAAGUUAUGGUGUCCAUCUACAACUAAAAAAAAUUUUUUAAAAACUUAGAAUAAUUCAUGUACUGGAAGUCCAACUCUCACUGUAGAUACUGAACUCCAUGAAAAGAUCUUCCACAGUGGUACUGAUCACUUGAUCAAAUCACUUAGUGUAGUUGAGUUGAAUUCUGUCUCAAUCUUCUAACAAGUCCUUUCCUAUGGCUUUAUUAGGUAAGUUUUCUCAGUGCCAGAUCCGAUAGCCAUGUGCUUCAACUCACCUCUAGCACAUAUUGACAGAUUUCAUUAACCUUUGUCUCUGAGAUUGGUAUUUUCUUUAGGUACUGAGUUGAACCCAGGGGCACUUUACCACUAAGCUACAUCUCAGUUCUUUUCAUUUUUUAUUUUGACAUACAGUCUCACAAAGUUGGUGAAGUUCUUGCUAAAUUUCUGAGGUAGACCUCAAACUUGAGCUCCUCCUGCCUCAGUCUCCUGGGUCGUUGGAAUUACAGGCAUGUGCCACUGCCCCUGGCAGAUUUGAUAUUUUCAAAAGUAAAACAGGAAUGAUAGUACUGACUUCAUAGGAUUGUUGUGAAGAUGAAUUGAGACUGUGUUAGCAGUGCCUGCUUCAUGCUGAGUAUUAAAAAUAUAUACAAAAUUCACAAAAUAGUAAACAAUUGAACAUAGAUUCAAAAGUACCUUUUUAGACUUAGGAAGUUUGAAUUUAGCUACCAAAAAAUAUGCCUUUAACAUAAUCCUUUUUUGUGGUUUCAUGUUCAUUUCAAGGAAAUACCGAUCCAAGUUAUAUCAAUGCUGCAUUUCUCCAUAGUAAACAGAUUUUUUUUUAAGUUGUUUAAAUGACAGUAAAAGGUUGAAUGUUAACAAGGAUUGACUUGAAAGCCAAGUUUCCUCUUUAUAAAACAAAGUCUAUUGGAACUUAUUUAUAAACAAAACAGAAAAAAGCCCUGGCAUUUGCUGAGACGGCUCUCUCUCUAGGGGUCCAUUUAAUUACAGGAGGCGUGCUUCUAAGACUGGUCCUCACAACUGAGGCCACGAGCCAGUCAGCUUUGCAUUGCUGUGAUCAAAAUGCCUGACAAAACAACUCAGACACAUAAUAAAAGAACAAAUUAGAAUUCAGACACUGAGAGGAGGAAGAGUUCAUUUUAGUUCCUGGUGUCAGUCCAUCAAGGGCCAGAUCCGUCCCUCGGACCCGGGUGAGGAAGGACAUGGAGGAAGGACCUGCUAAGAGAAGCUGCUCGGCUCGCUGCCUACACGCCCUGCCUCAACCUGCCACAUUGGGGACCGUGCUUCUAACACAUGAUGAGUGUUUGUGGGAAUAUUCCAGAUACAAACCGUAUCAAAAUUUUACUCAGCAAACGUAAUUAAGUGAACCUUUGUUUUCCCUCAAGGCAACCAUGUUUCAAAACAUUUUGAAAUGCACAGUAAUUUAAUUAUAGGUCUGGGUUUAUUUGAAAACAUUUGAGUUUUCAGUUGCAUUUUUUAAUUCAGGUUUUACAUAUGUGCCCUUAAGUGUUAAUUAUUGUGAUAUUCAUAAGAAUGUCUAGAAAAUCAAAACAUGAUUUAAGCUGUUAGAAAAGAUGCCACCCUUUUAAAACAUUUUGUCAGUGUCAGUGUCAGUUUUGAGAGAAAACUCAAGUCAGGCAUGUGGUGUACACCUGUAAUCCCAGCAAUCAGAGAGGCUGAGACAAGAGGAUCACAAGUUUGAGACCAGCCUCAGCACCUUAGUGAGAUCCUGUCUCUAAAUAAAAAUUAAGCCCAGUGGUAAAGCACCCCGGGGUUAAAUGUCCAGUACCAAAAAAAGAAAGAAAUCUAGCACCACAUGGGAUAUCAAAAUGUUGGGGUAAAUUUGGCUAGAAGCAUGCACUUAAUCAUUCAGAAGUAUGUAAUUCCUCAAGAACAAAGUUCACCUCAGAAAUCUUUGAGUUCCGUAUAACUGGUAAAUUCCAUGUUCCUGGUACAAGCCAUCGUCAACAGUAGCUGCCCCCUAUCUGAGACGAAACUGUCGUUUUGUGGGUUGGCUGUGGACAGACAUGGCGCUCCUGCUGUCUUCCGAAUGAUGCCAGCCAGGCCCCUGCCCUCUGCGCUCCUGCGGGAUGCAGGCCCCCUGUAGGCUCUGGCUUGCCUCGGCCUUGGAGAGCAGAGGUACGUGGAAGCCCGAGUCCCGGGAGGGCGCCGGCAGCCACCUGGGAGGGAGACGCCAACGGGGUGCCAGGACGGGACAGCGCUGUGGGGGUCAGGCUUGUCGCGCCUGCAGGGCUCAGUGAGGGCAGAGGUUCGAGGGCUUCGGUGCCACCCGUGCUGGGCAUCCUGCUCACCCUCAGCCUCCGCUGCGACCUCUCAGUGAUGGCAAUAGCGUCCUUUCCUCAGUCACUGACAGUGCCUACCCCUGAGUGGCAGGAAGGUGCCGGAAGAAACAGAUGGACAACUCGGGGAAGACAAAACGUGCACAGGACCGAAGAAAACCAGGGGCCUUCAUGUAGGAGGCGAACCUCAAGCUUAUGGACACUGAAUGCCGUGGCAACUCAGAAGAGAAGAGAAGGAGACCCGAGCGCACAGCCUGUCCCCACCCUGCCUUCCGCCUGCCCAGCCCCACCACUCACCCAGCAUGAGUCCGCUUCUUGUUGGACUGAGGAUUGAACCCAGGGGUGCUCUACCACUGAGCUACGUCCCCAGUCUUUUUUAUUUUUUUAUUUUCAGACAGGAUCUUGCUAAGUUGCUGAGGCUGGUCUUGAACUUGAGAGCCUCCUGCCACAACCUCCUGAGUCACUGGGAUUACAGACAGGUGCCGCCACGCUCGGUUGGCAUGUCGAUGGAAAGUAGAACAUAAGCUGAACUCUUUUAGAAAGUUCUAGAAGAGAUGGAGAGAAACAGUGGAUAGUGUUAAUCCCUAACUGCUCUGCAGUUUCCACUGCUGGGCGCUGCCGAGCCCUCCCUAAGCAGGGUGGGAUGCACGCUCUCCUGGCUGCCUCUACGCCUCCAUAGCGCCCACUCUGCUGCUGCCUUACCUGUGGUAGAACUGGCCGCACAGGGUGGGGAAUGCCGUCGAUUCGUGUUCUGAGUGCUCUGAGAUGAAAUACACCUUUUUUCUGGGUCGUCACAUCCCCAAAGUGUCAUAAAGCUUAUACAAAUGGGAUUCCAGCUCGGACGGACCAGAGGACACAACGUGGACUCUCCAGUCCCACAGACCUGGCUUCUCCAGCAGUGUGGCUGGGGACAAGUCAGCACCUCUGAGCCUAACUCACUGUAGUCUGGAGGAUUAAAUGCGGUAAUCUAUGUAAAAUCCUUCACACAAAUUGGUCUUGAUUAGAAUUGCAAUGUCUCCAUAUCUGUAGAAAGCACACAUCUCUGUUACUAACCAACCUCUAAUGUUGCAGAACUUAAUACAGGAUUACUCUAAAGUGGAAACUUUCUAGUGUCCUCUCAUGGGUGACUGUUCAUAAGAAAAACUCCCAGGCAUUUUAAAUGUCUCUGCCUUUUGGGGGCCGAGAAGGGGGAUUGGGAUUGAACCCACGGGCACUACUACAACCCCGGGGUCUUUUUUUUUUUUUUUUUUUUUAAUGUGAGACAAGGUCUUUCCCAUGCUGUCUUCAAACUUGCCAUCCUCCUGCCUCAGUUUCCCAAGUCACUGGGAUUACAGGCAUGGCCACCAUACCCAACAAGAUAUCCCUGCUUUUUAAGCCCAUGAACAAAAAUAUUCCUUCACUUGUCAUUUCAAUCAAAAUGCACCUAGUUUUCUUGCUUUAUUCAUAAACUUAGAAAAAAAUCUGUCCUCAAUUCACCCUAAUUAAAACAAUGGAGUUGGUUUUGGUGGUGCACACCUGUAAUCCCAGCUAUUGAGGAGGUUGAGGUAGGAGGAUCUCAAAUUUGAGACCAGCCUCAGCAACUUUGGGACAACCUGUCUCAAAAUAAAAAGCACUGGAGAUGUAGCUCAGUGGUAGAUCACUCCUGGAUCCAAUUCCAAAUACAACAAAUGAAAGGAAAAAAAAAAGGAAUCAGCCACCAUCUUUCUUUCCACUAACUUGUAAAAACCCUCCCGGCAGGCGGCUCUGCA